rnacentral:rRNA from 1 species
CCUACGGGCGGCAGCAGUCGGGAAUUUUGCGCAAUGGAGGAAACUCUGACGCAGUGACGCCGCGUAUAUGAAGAAGUUUUUCGGAAUGUAAACUAUUGUCGUUAGGGAAGAGAAAGGGCAGUACCUAAGGAGGAAGCUCCGGCUAACUACGUGCCAGCAGCCGCGGUAAUACGCAGGGAGCGAGCGUUAUCCGGAAUUAUUGGGUGUAAAGGGUGCGUAGACGGGAAAGCAAGUUAGUUGUGAAAUGCAUCGGCUUAACUGAGGAACUGCAACUAAAACUAUUUUUCUGGAGAGCAGGAGAGGUAAGUGGAACUCCAAGUGUAGCGGUGAAAUGCGUAGAUAUUAGGAGGAACACCAGUGGCGAAGGCGACUGACUGGACUGUAACUGACGUUGAGGCACGAAAGUGUGGGGAGCAAACAGGAUUAGAUACCCUUGUAGUC